rnacentral:lncRNA from 1 species
ACAGCUGAUAGGAAGCAUCCUCAUUUUGGCACAACUUUCUUUCAUGGGUUUGCUGGUUAUUGGUGUUUGAAGUUUCUUUCUCUCUCUAUUUCUUUUUUCAAAUGAUCACUUUCUUUGGGUAUGGUUGUUGGGUUAUGCUUUCAAGCUUAAUCUGAUGCAUAAAAAUGACAGGAGAGCAUUACAAGAUCUCAUGGGCUUGGAAUCACCAAUUUCAAUGUUGGAGGCACCAAUUACUCUUCAAAUUUUUAUAAUUGGUCGGAGCGACACUUCAUAUUUCUCUUCUAUAAUUACCGUUCUUGAGCUUUCAUAACAAAAGCUUGGCCGACAUACUUCUAAACGGGAACAAAGCAAAAAAGAAACAAGGAGAGCAACGGGUAAGGGAAGAGAAUGGGUGGAAUUCUACUUAUUUUAAUUUUUUUGUUCACUUAAUUAAUUAUUAUUGCUUUAUUUCUUAGUUAUAUUUUUUUUAAUGAAAUACUCACAACCAAUGGAAUAAGGAGAGAAAAUCUUUGAANNNAAGUUAUUUUAUUUAAUAAAUAUAACACUACCUUCUUGACUAGUAUAUGUUGUGCAAAUUAGUAAAAAUGAAGCUGACGGAAAGUUCUAGGUUAAAUUGGUUCUAAAAUGAAGCAGACGGAAAGUUCUAGGCUAAAUUGGUUCUAAAAGUUAAAAAGGGUCCGAUUGAACUUUAGAAAAGAUAAAAUUAUCAUCAAUGAAUAAGAGAUGUGAUAUCUCAUAAUAGGUAAAAUACUGUCACUAUUUUUACUAAGAAGUUGAAAGAAACCUCAGAAACGAAAGAGAAGAGGACGAGUUAUUCACAUUUCAUUUGAUGGUCGGAGGUGAAUUGAAAGCUAAGCAGAAGUAAUUCUAAAGAUUCCCUAGAGAAAAAAUAGAAAUGUCUCCUACAUUACUCCUAAUAUGUGGAAGUAUCAAACGUAAUUUCAGAGAGUCAUUCGGUCUGAAUGAUACAUGAAGAACAUAAGCCAGAUGAAGGAACAAGAAGACAUAGGAUGUAGAAGAGCAUAACAUGAGC